CAAAAGCGUAUAUUAAAGUUGUUGCAGUUAAAAAGCUCGUAGUUGAACCUUGGGCUUGGCUGGCCGGUCCAUCUUUUUUGAUGCGUACUGGACCCAGCCGAGCCUUUCCUUCUGGCUAGCCUUUUGGCGAACCAGGACUUUUACUUUGAAAAAAUUAGAGUGUUCAAAGCAGGCCUUUGCUCGAAUAUAUUAGCAUGGAAUAAUAGAAUAGGACGUUAUGGUUCUAUUUUGUUGGUUUCUAGGACCAUCGUAAUGAUUAAUAGGGACGGUCGGGGGUAUCAGUAUUCAGUUGUCAGAGGUGAAAUUCUUGGAUUUACUGAAGACUAACUACUGCGAAAGCAUUUACCAAGGAUGUUUUCAUUAA
rnacentral:rRNA from 1 species